UUAGAGCGAGCCGUCUGGCCCCAGCGCGGUAGAGGUAGAGGGUCGGGGCCCGCCCUGCACCCUAGGCAGCGGGGUUUGCCGAUGGGCGUGCAUUGGAAAGGGGGCACAGUGGGCUGGGAGGGUUUGGUGCGCGGAGGUUGCCAAGAGCGGUCGCCCUUGAACUUUUGGUCUCCAAGCACACUAGCGUUUGCUUCUCUACGCCUCCUGAACGUCAGAAGCCAAGUGAGGGAGAAGCCAGGGUCUCGUGAAAUGCUCAGAACACAUGCGUAAAACUACAGCAGGGUUGGGCUGGAGUGAAAUCAGCAACGUACCAAAACCAUGAAACACAGAAACAACUGCUUCUUCCAGACUUCGACAUACCACCCAGAAGGCAGUGUGGAGAAGAGGAAAGAGUGAAGAUUUUAAAGUCAGACAAGCCUGGCAGGGAUCUCUCUGCUGGAUCUGAGCUCCUGGAUGGCUCAGCCUGGAUCAUUCAGAAGCCUAUCAGAGGCAAGUUAGCCAACAGGUUUUCAGGAACUAAGAAUGCACAUAUGGAAGAGCGAAUGCAAAAAUUUAAGAUACUUAUAUUGCUAAACACAAGUAGAAUUUUAUAUAAAUAUAAUUCAUAAAAGGUAUAAAUGGCAAGAAUUUCUUUCUACCCAAUAAUUUUGUGCAACUCCUGAUAUGCUAUCUCUAGUGGUGAAACAUGACAGCCCUCGGCCCUACAGAGACCUCCACCUGACAGCUCUAAGCUCCUUCCUGGCUCUCAGAGGCUCUAGAAUGCAACGUGCCUCACCUCUUCCCCGAAUGUCCUGCUGUCCUCUCUAGGCCAUACAACUGCUUUGAGAGAGGAAUGACCAAGGCAUUCUCACUUUUGAGGGAAGUGAAAUAAAACUGCUCAGACAAACCAGGUUUUCCAAUUAAAGUCCACGAUCUUCCUGUUUUCCCAAGAAGAGCCUCUGUUUUUUCCUAUUCUCUAUUGAAAGCAUAGCUGGUAGACAGUCUUCAGUAACUAUCCAUCCUCUCUAUUGUUUUGAAAGGCAAUGCUUAGUAAGUAGGUCAUUUAUGUUUAGAAAUUUCCCUUUGAAGUUUUAUUCGAGCACAGAAUUUACUAAAAAACAAACAACUCUUUAUUAUUUUAGUGAAAAUCAUAAGCUUAACUCAAAUAUACAUAGGAUCAGAUUCCUGGACUUUUUUUCUACCCAGUCAUCCCUGUGGGCAGUUAAGGCUUAUGUAUGGGUCAAGUACUUUUAACUAGUGGUUAAUGGAAUAUAUGUCAUAUAAAUGUUAUUUCUUUUAGGCAUUCACUUAAUGACUGGGCGGCCAUUACUAAUAAUGCAAAGGGAUACGAAAACAGAUAUGUAAAGGUUAGAUUUCAACCAUGUGGUAAUCCUGAUCCUUGACUAUUUUUGACCUACGCAUGACAAUUUAAUAUAGUACAACCUGAUAUGUUUAAGGUUUAUUCAUAAAAUAAUACAUUUUAUACGUGUGUCAAAUAUAAAAUUGAUAUUGGAAUAGUAACAUAUUGCUAUUAAGAAAAACUUAAGAUAAGUUCAAAUAUCGUUUUAAAUACUGCUGCAACAUGGAAACAUGAUACCAUGUUCCAUACUAUAAUAUACCAGGACUUGAUGAAAGAAGACACAAUUGUUUUAUUUUGAGCCAACUAAUUAAAUAUCAGUCUCAUAACUUAUAAAAAUAUAUUAAUUUACUAUCAACCCUAAUGUCAAUACAUUUUAUGAAAUGACUAUUGUGUUGUUUGAGUCAGAGGUGAACUGUGUUGGGAGAUGUAAGAAAUCUUCCUUUACCUCACUGAAGACUAUGUAUUUCAAUAAGAAAUGCUUUACAUUUUUAAACUGCUCUGUAUGAAUAAAUAGUGCUAACACAAAAUUA